UACGUAGGGGGCAAGCGUUGUCCGGAAUCAUUGGGCGUAAAGCGCGCGUAGGCGGCCCGGUAAGUCCGUUGUGAAAGUCAAAGGCUCAACCUUUGAACGCCGAUGGAUACUGCCGGGCUAGAGUCCGGAAGAGGCGAGUGGAAUUCCGAGUGUAGAGGUGAAAUUCGUAGAUAUUCGGAGGAACACCAGAAGCGAAGGCGGCUCACUGGCCCGAUACUGACGCUGAGGCGCGAAAGCGUGGGGAGCAAACAGG
rnacentral:rRNA from 1 species